rnacentral:lncRNA from 1 species
AAAUGUGAAAUAAUUAGGCUUCGAACUUGAAAGUUUGAACAGUGUUUAAAUUAAAUAGGAGAAAAUUAAUAAUGCGAGAAGCCUGAUGUGAUUCGAACCAAGAACCUCCUAUUUUGAUAUUAUGUGAAAUAACCGCUGUACUUUAAAAGUUUAAGUUUAUAGAGAACGGUGUUUAAAUAUUUUUAUAUUUAAUAAGUAACUUAUAUUCUUAAUAUCAAUGUAACAAAUGAAGUUUAAGCUGAUGAUAUACUUUGAGUUGCAUAUAUCCUGAAUACACCUGUAGCAUCACUUGUUAGAAAAUUGCGUACGUUAAAGACGCAGCUGAAAAGAAAAUCAAACAAAUUUGAUUUUGAAAAACUUUCGAGAUCCAAUCUCAAAAAUCACACAAUUAGGAUCCCUCAUGUUCUUUAAGAUUAAAGGAGAAUAGCAAGAUCGAAUCUUUAUCUUUUUCGCAAAUAGAUCUUCACCUCUACUUAAUUAUUGUGGAAUUUGGUUCUUUUGAAGUCGCACACUCGUCCGGCCUCUAUAGGUAUCCACACGAGGUUCUUGAUUUGACCGAUAUCCUUACCGGAAUGCUAGCUCCCUUCCAAAAGGACGUUUUUUUGCUAGAAGAUGGAAAAGAGAGGAGAAGAGAGAUGACGGCUCGGAUUUUCUAAAAACUCCCGUAUAUCGUUAUAUAGAAGAAUAUAAUCCUCUAUUUAAUAAUAUAAUAACCUUUAAGGAUAAGUACAAAUCUAGAUUUAAAUUUAUCAUUUGCUUAAUUGGUUAGAUCGAUCAGAUCCUAAUUUGAUUUAAUUUGAACUUUAUAUUAAUUUGAUCAUAUCAAAUUAAUAAUACAAUAUUUGCACAUAAGCCCUCUUAUAAUUUACUAACUAUUAGUAAGUCCUCUCUAGUAACAUUUACACUUUAAUACCACUAAUUUAUAACAAUUAUAAAUUAGUCCAAUUAUCAACAUAUUGACAAUUAGGUCCUCCGACGAUGCAAAAAUCGCUAUCUAGCUAGCUAUCUGAUCAAUCACAAUCUCUUAUGUGUGUGACCCUAUAGAUUCUAUUCUAUCUGGUAGUUAGAUAUAUUUUGAUUACUAUCAACAAUAUCACUGAAACUCUUUUCAGUGGAUCGGAACAAUUCCAACUCAGCCCAAUGAGAAUUAUCGAUCAUCUAGAUAAUUCUCAUGAGUCUCACAAUCCACCAGUGACACUUAGCAACAUGUAGUGUCAUUCCAGUAGAAUGGAAUACUGAACCUCUUGGUGCAGUUACCGUAUAAUACAGUCUUUCUAUCAUGAGUCCUGACUAGACGGAGGUUAUGGAAUAACUCGGCAACCCCAUCGUCUGUCAUAUGUUAAAUUUAUUCGACUCGAGUUUCUAAUAUCAGAAACUCUUUUCCGCUAUUAACUCUGCCCUGGCCAAGAUCUUCUAAAUUCGGUCUCAUAAAUCAUAUAGGACUAACACCCCUAUCUAUCAAGAGAGAUAGAUUUCAUCUAAGUGCACGCCAUAUUUCUACAAUGAACCUACUGCACCCAACAUACACCGCAAGGAUCCGAAUGGCUAGGGAUCAAGUGUAUGUACAGUCAAACUACAGUAACCUCAUUGUGAAUAGCGGAGACAUCGCAGGUCAAAGGACCAGUCACACUACUGUAACAUUGAGUAAGUCACUAACGAGUGAGCAGACAUUUAAGUGACUUCUCGCGUUGGUCACGCUCGGUAUCCUUAUUCUCUAAUAACCACCUGCAUAUUCGCUUCAGUGUCCCUACACUGUCGACUCGAGACUCGUCUACCCAAAGAGGGAAGCGACCUAUGCACCAAUCUAAUCAGAUCAAUCACCGUCCCGGUGAUAGAUCCAUUGAUCGGGAGCAUUUAGGAAUUAACCACCAAUAAUACAUGUCUCAAAUUCUCAACUCUUGAGAAUAUAUGUCAUCAUCUUAUUAAUUGUUUGGACGAUUCAUGAACACAUACACAAUAUGAAUAAAAAUAAGAACCCAAAUUUAUUUAUAAUAUUUUAAAAUCAAAUAAAAAUUUAUAUUCUAAAAAAAAUAUAUAUGUCAGUCUGAUUCACUUCUACAGCAUACAUCUAACAUCACUAUAUAUACAAAAAAAAAAGAAAAAAAAAAAGAGGAGGAAUCACUACAACAGAAUUAGGUUAUAGGGACACAUGUUUGGGACACUUUUGAGUAAAUGUCCCAUUUAUUCUAAAACUUAAAAAAACAUCUACUAAUGCCUAAAUAUAAAGCCCAAUCCAACCAAAAAUAAAAGAUUACUCUACUCAACCCACCACACCCAAUCCAUUUGGCCUGAUUACGAACAGAAUAGAAAAAAAAAAGAAAAAUCAAUUACCAUCUUUUCUUCUCUCUUCACUCAAUCCACUGAAAUUCUAGACGAAAAGCCUUUCCUGUCGUCCUCCUCCGCCAUCGCAGCCAACGAGAUAGAGUUUCGGAGGUUGCUAAAUGCUUAAAUAAGUGUUGGUAAAUUAGCAGCACUCUUUUAGGUUAUAGCGACACUCUUUAACUGUCACUAUAUACCUAGCGACCCCACAUAUAGCAACACUUUUUAAAAGUGUCGGUAAUUUAAGGCUAGCAGCACUUUUCUGACAUAUACUAUAUUUAGAAAGUGUCGCUAUAGACCGUUUUUGUUGUACGUGAAUGAGACCAUUAAUUAGUUUCUACUGCGCAUGCACGCGGCAACUGGAAAAAGUGCUUCGCGGAAAAUAUUGCUUUUGUUGCGCUGUGCAUGAAAUGACGAGCAACUUUGAAACUACAGGGAAAGAGAGAGUUGCUGUCACAAAAGGCGUGGAGUUUGGGUGCGGGUCCGAGUCACGAAUCCAUACUAAAAUGUUGGGUGUGGAAUUUAGACUCGUACGUAGGUUUCAACUGAAGACUGCGUAUCCUUCGGUUCAAAACAGGUACGUAAAUUAUUCCGAGGAUCUAAAUUUCGAACCUUCUAUAUAUAUAAUAUAUAUAUAAUAAAUUAUAGAUAUAUAUAUUCAGAUAUCAUGUUAAAUAAUAUGAAAUAGUUGUUAAUCUUCAGAAGGUUAAACUAACGUAGAAUAGUAAUCUUUAAUAUUAAUAUUACAGUAUAUAUGAUGAAUUUCAUUUGGAGAAAAAGAAAAAUAAAGUUGAGGAGGACAUUUGAAAAUUGAGUAUAGGUGGUGGGGUCUCCAUACAUUUUUACUUUUAAAAAUGAUCAACUCUCAUGUAUAGUGGAGAGCCACUAUAAGAUUUGUAUACCUAAAUUAGGUUCUAGGCUUUUGGUGUGCUCUGAGGAGGUUAGCAAAUUAAAUGAGAAGUGCUUUUAACAAUGUAAUUAAAGUGAGUUUUGUAACUUUUUUUCUUUUGGUUUUUCGGGUCAUUAGGAACUAGCUAGCUUUAAAAAGAUUAAUUUGAUGCCACGAAUACAAUUGAAAUGGCGCAAAUUCUCUACGGACUAGCAUACAGAAAGUUACUACGCACAAAGCUUACUACACGCAAACGAAUAUGGUCGCCAAUGUGGGUUUUUGAUGAGUGGAAUUAAUGAGUCUUCUCAUCCGCUUAAUCUGACUUUGUAAGUUGAGCAUCGACUAGAUCACAAUAAUACGCCUCAAAAGGCUCUCUCUUUUCAGAUGAACGUGAACCGAUCUGCGCAUAUAGAUAAACUUUAGCUGGUUCUCACGACGUGUUUUUGUUGGGCUGAUGUGAAAAUCUUUUGCAAAUAAAUUACGUUCUUUUCCUUUUUUAGGAUGCACACUAGAUUAGGUUUGUCUCCUUAAAAGAAAUGAAAAUUUUAUUCUAGUGCUAAUGAUGAUGAUGAUGAUGCUAUACUGUGCGUUCUACGUAGGCAUGUCGCACAAUAUUACUUUGUGGGUUUAAUAUAUUACUCAAUCCAAUAUCAAAAGUUAUUAAAUUAAUUAGCUUUAUAUACCUAGAUGUCUAGGACAUGUGUGUGGCUUGAGCCUGUUUAAUUUUGGACUCUUUACUCGCACCAAUAGAAAACAUUAAACUUUUUAAUUUUUUUAUACACCUAUAAGCUUGUACAACUUCUAGGCACUUAAUUUUUUCUUUUUUUAAAGUUAAACAUUUGUUUUCGCCUUUUAAGUUGACAAUAUUCUGAAAACUAAGCCAAAUUAUAUGUCGAUGGUCAUUUGGUGUAGCUUUUAAAGUACUUUUUUUUACCCUAAAAACAAAAAACUUUCUACAUGUGAAAUUCAAACUAACUUUAUUAGAGAAAAGUUAGGAAAUUAUAGUUGAUUAAAAAUCUUUUAUGUUUAAUUACAUAUCUCUCCAGUAAACAACUCUAGCAAUCAGUUCCGAUCACUAAGAAUAUCGUGCUGUGCCAAACAUGUCCUACUUCACAGAUCUCUUGCAUGACUAUAUGCAACUUUUGAAAACCAGAAACAGGUUUGGAUUCACACCAACUUGUUGAAAUUAGUGAUGAAAAGCUAGCAAACAUAUGCAAGGAAAUCGAAGGUGAAAAUCGAUCGAAUAUGUAGCAGAAAAAAAGAAAAAACAAGGAGUUAGGAAUUUCAUAAAAAGUACUUGCAGCCUCCUUGAUUCCUGAUAAAAUGUGAAAGGCAAACAUGUGCAAGAAAAUUGUAAUCAAGCUGUCAAUGGGCUUCGUACUUUUGGUAGAACAAUAUUAAUAAUCUCUUUUGGGGUUGGAAUUAAGCUAAAUUGCAAUUUUGGCCCUCAAACUAUGAACGUACGUUGCAUUUUGAUUCUCAAAAUUUUAAUUUAUUAUAAGAAAAAACUUCAAAUAUCCCCCGUGGUUUCGCACUUUCGCACUUUAUUACCCCGUGAUUUAAAGUGUAUCAAGUUAGUAUCAUGUGGUUUCGCAUUUUCUCACUUUAGUACCCUGUGGUUUAAUAUUUCUUGCGUGGGUCAAAUUCCAGACCUUCUAAUCUGCUUCUAGAAAUACCAAUCAUCUACGCAAACAAACCUAUAAACCCCACUCCAAAAAAUCUUUUCUACACUUGUCGUUUAUUUCACUACUCCAAAGGCUAAAAGACAGCACACAAGGGGUCCGAAUUCCGGACCUUCUAAUCUGCUAUUUCGGACCUUCGAAUCCUAGUUGAUUCACAUUUUUAGCUAGUUUAUUUCUAAAUGAAAUAAAAUGAAGCGGGUAGCAUACUAGCUAUCUCUCAAAAAACAAAAAAAAUCAAAUAUCUAGGCAAGUCAGUGGUGCUAAUUAACAUGCCCGUCACUUGUCAUUCUUUGCGGCCAACUCCUUUUUGGCUUACCUGCCACCACCACCACUUCCAUCAUUGCGUGGGUCGAAUUCCAGACCUUCUAAGAUGCUUCUGGAUAUACCAAUCAUCUACGCAAACAAACCUAUAAACCCCACUCCAAAAAAUCUUUUCUACACUUGUCACUUAUUUCACUACUCCAAAGGCCGAAAGCCGGCACGCAUGCAAGGGGUCUGAAUUCCGAACCUUCUAAUCCACUGUUCAGCAAUAUCAAAUAUCUGGACAAGUCAGUGGUGAUAAUUAACAUGGCCGUCACUUUUCACUCUUCGGUUCUGCACCCAACUCCUCUUUGGCUCUCUAGUCACCACCAGUACUUCCAUCAUCUCCUUCGUUAAUUUGUUUUUUUUUUUUUGAAAGAUAGGUAGCGUGCUAUCCGUUUCGUUUAUUUCAUUUAGAAAUAAAUUUAGCUACAAAUGUGAAUCAAUUAGAAUUCGAACUUAGGACUUCGAAUAUCAACUAUCAAAUUCUUUGCCAUUUGCUGUAGGGACGGUCGGUCCCUUGUUAAUUUGUUGUGAGCUGUGAAUGAUGAAUACAUAUUAUUAUAUUAUAUUAUAUAAAAUAUGUACAUAUUUAGUUCAAGUGGGAGGCUUCCUCGUGACAAAACGCAGCCAACCAAAUUACACAACUUUCAGACCUCAUCGCUGCUGUACGGAGACCAAACAAACCGCUUGAAUAAAACGUGCAUCACCCUCCCCGCUUUGUGCAAUAGUGCUUAUAUCACUUAUCCCAGUUAUCUCUCACACUUGCUUUAAAACUAGUUAUAUAUAUAUAUAUAUAUAUAUAGAGAGAGAGAUAGGUUGGAAUACUAUUGAUAGUAAAAUAUCUUUUUUGCUAUCAAGUUUUUAAUUUUCGGAUGAGAAAUUAUAGGAUUAGAAUGAUAUUAGUCUUUUAGAGUUGAGUGGUCCUCCUCUCUAGAAUUGAGUGGUCUCCAUCGGGUUAUAAUAUUUAAUCCAAUAGUUAGAAAUGAUAAAAAGUAAUUGAUCCAAAAGCUAAAAACUUAAUAGCAAAAAAGAUCUUUUACUAUCAAUAGUAUUCUAGCCCAACUAUAUAUAUAUAUUAUUAUUAUAUAUAUAUAUAUAUAUAUAUAUAUAUAAUUCUACUUGAUGACUUUAUAAUGAUUUCGAAAAUUAUCAAAUUAUUUUCUAGAAGUUUCAAAUACUUAGAUCAUGUUUAACGGUGUGGAUCAAUCAUUUGAAAACUCUCAACAUCGAAAACAAACUUAUGAGUAGUAAGGUUCUAUACUCAUAAGAGUAUAGUAACCCACCCUCUCUCUCUCUCUCUCUCUCUCUCUCUCUCUAUAUAUAUAUAUAUAUAUAUAUAUAUACAGAGUUGAGCUCGAUAGCAAACGGGCUCCGUUGCCACCCAUUUGUUUUGGAUGAUGGAGCCUCCAAAUUGACGAUCGGUAUCGUUGAAAAUGAUCUAUACCACCUGACGUAUCUAGAAAUAAAAUUUCAUGUUUUUCCGAUAUUGUUCUUAAUUUCAUUCAUCAAGUGGGCGUAAAAAUAGACGGCUGAAAAUGAAUAUCCUCUUAAAAAUGAUGAUAGGAAUUUUGUAAUUAAUCAAGAUCGAGAGUGUAGAUCUUGUUCUAAAUAGUUUAAAAAAUUUUCUAACCAAAAUUCAAUUGAUUUGGAUAGCUUUACACCGUUAAACGAGAAAACACCUCAUAUCGAUCAUUAAAAUUACAAAUUUUGAAACCCUUUGAUCAUUAGGUCAAUGAUAUCGAAAAUAUUUGAAAUUUAAUUUCUAGGUACUUCAAGUGAUAUAGAUCAUGUUCAACGGUGCCGAUCGUUGAUUUGAGGGCUCCAUCAUCGAAAACAAAUGGGUGACAACAGAGCCCGUUUGCUACUGAUAGCAUUUCAGCUCAACUCUCUCUCUCUCUCUCUCUCUCUCUCUAUAUAUAUAUAUAUAUAUAUAUAUAUAUAUAUAUAUACUAUCAUAUCAAUACUCCGUAAAAAUUUAAUAAUUAUACAAAAGAUUUAUAUUAAUUAUGUUUUGUGCGAUCUCAGUAAAUUUGCAUAUUUAUUACUACUGUCUGCAUAAACUAAUCAAUAAUCUUAUGAGUACAAUAUUUUGAGAUCAGGUAUGUACAAUUGUAUGCAUUGAGAGAAACUUAUGCUUUGAGUUGACCAAGAGAACUUUUGAUAAAUCGCUAAUGUGCUGAUAAGCCAGUAUAACACGUGGGACAAGCGUGCAUGAAUCAAGCUCAAAAUUUUUUAUAUGAUUUAUGCCCACACAUUAAUAGUCUAAUCCUACAAUCAUACCAAAAAUACCUAAUUCAUUAGCCUCAUUUGAGAAUAUAUAUCUUCUAGAAUAGUAGAAGCACUUAGGGGCUGUUUGGUUGUGCGCAUUUGCAACUGCAGUACAGUUGCAAAUGCAUGCAGCCACAAUUCCUUUGUUUGGUUUAGUGUAGUUGAGUUCAAUUGCUGCAGUUCCAACUGCACAAGAAGGCCCAAAUACUGCAGUUGGAACUACAUCCAAAUUGGUCGUAGUUCCAACUGCAGCAGUUGGUGAGGGAUAGAAUCACCCACAAAUUAAUAAUAAUAAAUAAAUAAAUAAAUAAAUAAAUAAAUAGCUAAAUAAAUAAAUAAUAUAUGUAUAUAGGUAAAUAAAAAUACUUAUAAAUAAACUCAUACUAAUAAAAUUUUUUAGACAAUACAAGCUUUGUGCAAAAAAUUAAUUUUUUUAAAUUUAUUUUAUUUAAAAUAUAAAUAUAGUUUUUUUUUCUAAAUUUUUAUAGAAUGUGAUCGUGUAUGUUAAUUUAAUAAGUUUUAAUUAAUUAUAAUUAUUAAAUUUGAUUAAAAAAAAAGAAGAGAGAAUCGUUUAAAUUUUUAAAGUUUGAUUUACAUAUUAAAAUUAAAUAAAUUAAAAAUUUUAAAUGUGUCGAUUAAUAAGUUGAAGAAUUAUUGAAAAAUAUAAAAAUAUUAUAUAUAUCUACUUAUUUAUUUAUAAAUAGUAAAUUUAAAUAAUUAAUAAAUUUAUACAAUUAUUUUAUGUUUAGUGAAGGUAACCUCACCACUCUAUCUGAAGAGGUGACAAAAUUCAUAAAUACAACUAUCAGCUUCAUAUUACCAAACAGAAGAAAUGUAACUGCAGUAGUUGCAACUGCGUAAAACCAAACAGACUAGGUGUAGUUAUAACUGCAGUAUUUGCAACUGCAUGUAUUUCCAACUACACUGUUUCUGCAACUACAUCUAACCAAACGGCCCCUUAAUUUCCUUCUUUUUUUUUCGAGCAAUAGAUUGUGACACCUAGCUCGGAGGUUAAUGUAUCAAUCUCUUAAUAUUUUUGAUGAGAUAAAGUUAAAAGCUCAGCACUUAGCAAUUAGUUUAAUAAUUUAACAACAUUCGACCAAAACAUCUAUUUCGCACUACUACUUAAUUAGGAUAUAAAUAUUUUUUUGGUUAUUGAUCAUUCUUAGAACAAUUAGUUAAAUACUUGAUGAUUAGUAUACAAACUUUUAAAUUUGAAUUCUUAUUAUUUUACAUCCUUGCGAGGUAUCUGAAGUUUUUUUUUAAAAAAAAAACAAAAAAACUUAGGAGCUCGUGCUCUACUUCGGCGCGUUGGAUGGUGGACCAACGACAUCCGUUGAUUUCUCAUUUGACGGCGAUAGCGCGAAUCACGGGCAUCACCGUCCAACCGGUUGAUCUGACGGUCAACGUUGGUCCUUUGCUUUGAUAUACUAUGCAUUGAUGGGCAACGUGGACUCGAGAGGACCCUCGCAUAUACGAUGGCUUAUCCACCUAAUGAUGUGACCAAAACUAAGUUAUCAAUUCCAAUAUGAUGGUUUAUCUAUAAAAAAAAAACUUUUAUUAAAAAAUAUGCAUAAUCGAACCUAUUUAGGAAUAUUCUCAUGGUAGAGAUAGAAUUUGCUACGGGUCAGGUCGGGUCGGGUCGGGUCAGAUUCAACUAAAUAUACUGAUCCAUUAAAACCAACCUAACUCAACUCAUGAUUGAUCAGAUAAUUUGUCCAACUAACCUAUCAAUCUGAUUCGAUCCAAUUCAAUCCACAAAUCUUACUCAACCAAACCUGUCGAUCAGCCAACUCUACCCAACCCAACUGAUGAUCAAACCUUCAACCGUGUUAAAUAAAGCAUUACUAUUUGUACACCUAUUUUAUAAGUGUAAAAUUUAUAUCCUGACAUUUGAAAGAUUGUGAUGUACUCAUUUGACACAUCACAUUUUUUGUAAUGCUGAAAAAUUUUAAAAAGUUUAUAAGCUUUUGGAUGCAAUGGGUGUAAGAUAUACACUCCCAUAUGGGUUGUAAAAAUAAAUAUUUUCUAUUGAAUAAUAUGACAUAAUUGUUAAAAAAUAAUAUUUACAAAAAUAAUAAUAAUAUUCUAUUGUUAAUUGACCCAUCUCUAUUAGAUUACAUGACAAAAAGAGAGUAAGAACACACAUAUUAUGAGCAAUUAGUGUGUUUUAUUACAUAAAAAUAAACUAAUACGCCUUAUUAAAGAUAAAAAAGGCAUAUACAUAGAUAUAUUCCAUACGCCCUAUGUUUAUGUAGGAUUAUAUGUCUUGGUGCAUGUAAUCGAAAAAAUACACUGUUUUCCUUUUGCAAACUUUUAUUUUAAUGUAAUCAAAAAAUCGCAUAAUUUAUUUUCUAGGUACUUCAAAUACUCUAGAUCAAGUUUAACGGAGCCGAUCGACGAUUCGAAAGUCGCAACAUCGAAAACGAGCUGGAAGCACGAAAGGCUCCGUGCUUCCGAUAGCAUAGUAGCCUUACUCUCUGCUCUCUCUCUCUUUCAUAUAUAUAUAUAUUUAUUAUAUAUAUUAUAUAUAUAUAUAGUCCGGCUGGGUACUACUCAUAGACCAUGCAUUUUGGUGCUAUCUAAGCUUAUUCUAAAUCUCGACGAUCGCUCGGGUGCAGACUUCUUACACUGGAUUUGGUAAGUAUUUGAAACUGAAUAUUAUAAUUUCGACAUCAUGAUAGGCUAGUUGAUCAGAGGGAGAGUGGGGGGGUCUCAAAGUGAUAAUUUUGUAAGUUUAGUAGAUGUGAUGAUUGUUGGUAACGCCUGGUGUAAAACAAUCCAAUAAGAUGAAAAUUUUUAUAGGAAAUAUUUUUUACUAUUUAGAGUAAGAUCAGUACCUAUGAUCUUAAAUUCAAUUAUUUUAUGAGACUUUAUAUUUUUA